rnacentral:lncRNA from 1 species
CACGGGAUGCCUCCUCAGUAAGGUCAGAAUGAAAGAUCCAAAUCUACAUAAAUGACAUGAACCAUCGAAAUCCUACUUUCUCAAAUCAUAAACAAGUUCUCGAUGAGCGUCCAUUGGUCAUUAAAAAGACAUUAUAGUAAUGUUUAUCAUCUAUUUUUUCUGCAAAGAUUAAAUUUAAAUAAAUGUCUGGAGCAUGUGGUAGACAUUUUGAAGAACUAACGUUGAAUCAUUAUUAGUCUUCAAGCAAAUUGCGCCAACACCAAUUACUUUAACCUCCUCAGUAUUGCCCAUGUCUGAUGACAUUCUAAAAUCACCAAAAGUAUAAGAGAAGUCUUUCUUCAAUUUGAUAUGAGAUUGUAGCUCCAAAACCUACUAUGAAAUUGAUCUUAUGGGAUACUGAAUUGAUGAUAUUUUUGUGGUAGGCAAAGAAAAGGUCAUGUAGAAUAACAUCAACAACAUUGUUCCUGUUAUUUUCAUCUCUCUCUCCUCUAAUGUCUUGUUUAAGCUUAUAGGUAAAUCUUCUCGUAUGUCCUUUAUUACCACAAUGAUUACACAAAUAAUUUUGGUACCUAGACCUACUUGUUUACGCUUUUAAUACUAAUACCCUAUACUUCUUGUUUUAUCUCUCCUUUGAUCUUCUAUAAAUAAAAUAUCUAACUGAGAGGAUGAACCCUUGCCAUUAUCCUUACUUUCUCACUCAAUAUUACACUGUUUUUGGUAUAUCUCAUGGUUACCCUACCACUAUUAAGUUGAAUUUGUCAAAGUAACAGAAAGAGUUUUCCAGGACCGGACAUAAUGUUAAAAAUUCACAGUAAAUGUACGACAUUAUUAAAAUUAACACACGUUCUAAAGACAUCUUAUUCAAGAAUAAGAUUAUAAAUCGUGUAUUUAAAAAGUUCAUAGAUUGCUUUAGCAGGAAACAAUUGUCAUUAUCAAUUUUUAAGCAUGUAGUGUCUAGAGAUUCUUCCACAAUGAUCUUGUAUGUUUCUCAUUCAUAAUAUAGUUAUGAAAAUUGUUUUUCAACCCAUUGUUUUAUAGAUCUAAAAGUUUUUUGGUGCUCAAAAUCUCAAUUUUCACAAGCAUAUAUUCGAGCUUAGGAACAACAAAAAUGAAAAAAUGCAUCUUCGACAUUUGAUGAUCUAGCUUGAAUAACAUUAUAACUACUACUAUUUACAUAUACCUUCUUGAUCAUAUUCACCUCCUUCAAUUAAAAUUCAUAAAAAUAAUUAAGGCUCUAAUAUCACUAUUACGUCGAAAAGAGGGCAAAUUCACAUAUAUAGAGAAUGAAAUUCCUUCAAAUUGAAGGUAAAUCCACAUAAAAUGGAGAUUUAAAAAGUCUCACUAUAAUAAAAGGAGGGUUAUAAAAGUUUUUCAAAAAUGGCGACUCAACAUGUGUCAAGCACAACAACAAUUGCAGUAACAAUUAAUUAAAGAAAUCAGAGAAAUAAAUCAAAAAUGACAUUGUUGUUCGUGGUCAAAAUUUGAAGUUGCAUGCCUCGAAAUUCAAUCUCCGCCUUUCAAAUUCAAGAACCAGAUGUGAAGAACUUUCAUUCAAAAAUCAAAUCGAUCCAAUGAUGAAAAGAAACAACAUAUCCUCUUUUUAUUCUUGAGUAGUUGCCUUCUCAAAUCUCUCUUAUGAAUAUAGCUUAUAAAUUGUUUCUUCUCUUAAAUACAUAAUCAAUUUCAAAUAGGAGUCAAAAUCCGAAUAGAAUGAAGUUAUACAGACCUUGGUUGGAUUGUUAUGAAAUAACUAUUAUAAAAAUAAUAAUGAAGAAAAAAGAACACAAUUUAAUAUGGGAACUCCUGAAGGGCCAGCUCUUAAUAUUUUCCAAUAAAAGAUGACAUAAAUACAUCCACGUAAGCCAUGUCUACAUUAGCUGCGAAAAUCCUUGGGGUUUGAUCCAAAGUAAUUUUUUCAAAUAACAUAUGAACUAAGAAAUCCUAACGUUUAUACUGCAGCCCCUUGAUUUGUCCAUCACAUCUCAAACUUCACUGUAGUUAAUUUAUUUUGUUAACAUAUCUACAUGACUCUCAUCUGUGUGAAUCUUAUUCAACUUGAAUGAAUCUUUAUCUUCCUCUAAGAGUGACUGAAUGAAAUGAUACUUAAAUGGGAUUCACCCUUGAAUGAUAAUGUUCAGAUCAGAGCUCUUUGCUAAUUAAAUGACAAUUGGCUAUUACUGUUCAGCCUGCAUUCCAUUCUUUACCAAUCAAGUUUCUUCAACAAGCUCUUUAACCAAAUCAUCUCUUUAUACUAGUUGGCUAGACGUGCUACGUACGGUCCCAAUUGAUACUUAAGAAUUCUACUUAUGUGUAAUUUUAUCAUUUAAUUAAAAAUUUUAUUCAUUUAGUUAAUAAAUUCUAAGUUAGACAUAUAUUAUUAUAUUUAGAUUAAAGAAAUUUGUAUAAGAAUAUUUUAAGUUGUUAAUGACACUCAUAUAAUUUCGAGAUCAAUCAAUUUUAAAAAAAAAAAUAUCUACAACUGUUAAUUAUUGUAAUUUAUAUUACUUUUCACAUAGUAAUUAUGAAAUAUAUGAUAAAUAUUUUAAUUUUAUUAUUUCCAUUUAUAAUAUUUUUAAUGUAAUUUAAUCAGUCAAAUAAAUUAAAACGGAGAAAAAUAAAAGAUUUUUCAAAGUAGACCCAUGCUUAGCAGGCAUGUCGAUGGAGUGGAGCUUGAGCAGCUCCACUCACAUCGGAAGUUAAUUUAUCAUUUUAUGUCUAUUUGACUUUUUUAUUAAAUAUUAUUUAUUUUUUAAUACUUAGAUAACUUAUAGUAAUUAAUUAGAAGUGAUAUAAUAAAAUUACGGUUGAAACAGCUAAAGUAGACAUGUCAUAAAUGUCUAUUUUACCUUUUUAUUAAAUAAUAUUAAUUUUUCUAAUAGGUCAAUGACAUAUCGACCUUUUUUAUUAAAUAUUAUUAAUUUUUUAAUACAUAGAUGACUUAUAAUAAUUAAUUAGGAGUGAUAUAGUCAAAUUACGGUUGCUAAUACAUAAAUGACACAUUGACAUUCUUUAUUAAAUAUUAUUAAUUUUUUAAUACUGAGAUGACUUAUAAUAAUUAAUUAGGAGUGAUAUAUUAAAAUUACGAUUGAAGUAGUUGAAGAAGACAUGUCAUAAAUGUCUAUUUUACUUUUUAAUUAAAUAUUAUUAUUUUUUCCUAAUACGUAAAUAACAUAUAAUAACUAAUUAAGGGUGAUAUAGUAAAAUCAUGAAACAAUGAAACACGCAGAAAUGUUGACGGUCUUGUGUGUGCAUCAGCUGCUACACCGUGGCUUCUUAUAUAUAGGAGAAUAUGUUUAUGUUGCAGCCACAUAUAUGUUUUGCCUAACAAGGCAUGCAGUGAUAUUUUGCAAUCUCAAGCUCCUAUUGAGUGUCGCAUUUCAAAAGUAAACAAAUAGCCAGUAGUACUCCUACCAUUAACAUCUCUAGCCAUAUUUGAAUCAAUAAAAUCUUUUAAAAUGAUUCUACCACCUGUAUAGAAAAAUAAAUACUUUGUCAUUAACAUGUACCUCAGAAUCCACUUCAUAACAUUUCAGGGUUUUAUAUUAGAAUUUGACGUGAAUCUACUCAUUACUCCCACGUCAUAGAAAAUAUUCAAUCUAGCAUAUGUCUAUAUUCAAUCAAGCAUAUGCCAUAGUAUACAUGAGACUAUCCACACCUAAUGUAAAUGGUAUCUUCUCCAUUCAACUCUUUUCUUCACCAGAUUUUGAGCUGAGUUGCUUUGAGAUGUUAUUUAAGUGACCUACCAAAGGAGUUCUCACCGUCUUGGCAUCCUCCAUGUUAUACCUCUUCGAGAUCUUUUCAAUUUCAUCUUUCUGAUUCAACUUUAACAACUUAUUUCUUCCAUCUCUUCAAUUUUUAGCCUUAAAAUCUUUUUCACAAGACUAAUAUCCACCAUUAAACAAUCGCUAGCCAUUUGCUCCUUCAUCUUGUGAUCUCAUACAUAUUAGAACUUGUCGCUAAUAUGGCAUUCACGUACAAGAGUAAAAUAAUGUACGAAUUUACAAACUUCUUAAAGUAACAAUAAUGAUCACCAUUACACCAAGUAAAGUCAAUAGUCAUUAUAAACCCAUCAAAUUUUAAGUUGCACCAUCUUGGUGCUUGAUCAUGUUGGGAUGGAAAUCAAUCCCACAUUGGAAAAAUAGAGGAAGAAUGUCAUAUAUCUAAGUGCCACACAACUCCACUUGUAUGAGGCCUAUUGGAGAAAUAGAGGAAGAAUGUCAUAUAUCUAAGUGCCACCCAACUCCAUUUGUAUGAGGUCUUUUGGGAGGCGCCCAAAAACAAAUUCGUGAGGGCUUGGCCCAAAGCGGACAAUAUCAUACUAGUGCGGAGUUCGGGUGGAGUUGCACGCGGUCCUAACACGAAACAAAUCCGUGAGGGCUUGGCCCAAAGCGGACAAUAUCAUACUAGUGCGGAGUUCGGGUGGAGUUGCACGCGGUCCUAACACGUGGUAUCAAAGCGAGGUUAAAAUCGGGUGUUCAUCUUGUCAGAUUCAGUUCUAGUCGCAACCUAUUUGAGUAUUACUUUGUGUAGAGGCAAAGGAGAUUUUGGAGAUGGAGAUUGAACUUAUUGAAGACUACAUGAAGAAGGUGGAGUAAAUUUAUUUUAUCAGAAAUUCAGGCCAAGGGAGAGAAUUGUUGGUGUUUGUCUUGACUUUCUUACCAUAUUUGGGUUUUCCUUUAGGUACCAUAAUUGGGUUUUCCUUUUGGAAAAAGGAAAAUAUAUUCUUCAUAUUUGGCUAAUCCUUAUUCUCGUAGGAAAAGGUUAUAAACUCUAUAAAUAGAAACUCCUUUCUUCUAGUUUUGUAGUAUCCACAAUGUAUUCCUAGGGGUUUGAGAGUUUUGUUUGGGGGGACUUUGUGAGACACAAGUGUUGCGGGAUCACUCGUGUGAGCCUCUUUUAUUCUGAGUGAAUUGUGUGAGGUUGUCUCUCUUGACAGUUUGUACUCUCUUUUAAAUAGUGGAUUGCUCAUCUCCUUUUGUGGAUGUAGGUCGAUUGACCGAACCAUGUUAAAUUAUUGUGUCUCUUUUGGUGUAUUUCUUGUUUGUUUCUUAUUUGGCGUCUUUCGAGGUUUGCUUUACUAACUUCCACAUGAAACCUGAUUGUUUCGGUCCUAACAAGUGGUAUCAGAGCCCAAGUUUGGGUGUGUCAUAGUGGACUACGUGAAGUUCCCGGUGUGACAACAAGACUAGAGAUCUGCAGGUGGUGCCUUGUGUCGAAAGUCUUCCUGACGAAUGGUUGUCAGGCGGUGUGUCCCGUGUCCCGUUGGGUGUUAACGGCGGUACAAGAUGUUUGGCAGAUCAUGUGAAGUGACCUAGUAGUUGAGAUCUACGGUUGAUGCCUUGUGUCGAAAGUCUUCUUGACAGUCAAGCGGCGUGUCCCACUGGUUGGUAGUGGCGGUACAAGCGGCAUGUCCUCUUCAAAUGAAUUAUCGCUAAAGGGGAGGUCACAAGUUGUGUGGUCUUGGUUUGAGGGAAGGAUUGUUGGGAUGCAAAUCAAUCCCACAUCGGAGAAAUAGAGGAAGAAUGUCAUAUAUCUAGUGUCACCCAACUCCAUUAGUAUGAGGCCUUUUGGGAGGUGCCCAAAAACAAAUCCGUGAGGGCUUGGUACAAAGCGGACAAUAUCAUACUAGUGCGGAGUUCGGGUGGAGUUGCACGCGGUCCUAACAGAUCAAACCAUAGAAACUCUUCUUCAGUCUACACAUCAGAUUUUUCUUAUCAACCUCUAUGUACCCUUUAGGUUGCUCCAUAUACGAAUCUUCCUCUAGAUCUCCGUGAAAAAUAUUAUUUUACAUCUAGUUGCUCUAAAAGUAUAUCUUAUGCCGCAACAAAACUUACACAACUCGAAUAGUAGGAAAUUUUAACCACAUGAGAGAAAUAUCAGUUAAAUCAAUACCUACAUUCUGUUGAAAACCUUUUACUACCAAAUUUGACUUGUAUCUCGUUGAGCCAUCAUGAUCCUGUUUAACCUUGUACAUCCAUUCAUUCUGAAUUAUCUUCUUCCCCUUCUGGCAAUUUGACCAAGUCCCAAGUUUGAUUUAUACGAAGUGAGUCCACUUAUUAAUCUAUGACCUAAAUUCACUUUGACUUGUUAUCAACCUGCAUUGCCUUAUUAAAAUGGCGGCAAGGUUAAUCAACAUCUGUUAGUAGUAAUUAAUAAUGGACAAUUUCAUCUGUUAGGAGACCUUUGUAUUAGAGACCUUCACAACAAAAUGAGUGCCUCUAUUAUUUCUUGUUAGUCCUCCUCAUGUGCAUCAGAUUUGCAUCAUUCAGUUCAACAUUAGUGUUCUUGUCGUCUUUAGGUUCAGCAAAUACUGAUUUUAUUUGUUUCUAUUUCUCCUUGAACUUGUCCUUAUGCAGAACACUUAUAUUGAACACUACAGUCUUCUUGUCCUUAUGGAGAACACUUAUAUGGAACACUACAGUCUUCUCUUUAUUACCUUUUGGUAUAUUCAUAAUCCCAGAGUAUAUUUACAAAGUUUCCAUCACCAUAGCCUAAGAAAGUGCAAACUUUGGACUUUACAUCUAACUUAGAUCUCGUAAUAGCAUUCAUAUAACAUAGGGAAAGCAUCAAAAACUCUAUAUGCAAGAGUUUUACCUCGUACUUGUCCAUACUUCUCGAGACAAUUCACAUGUUACGGGUGUUGAAGGUUCUUAGUUGAUCAAGUAUGCAGCAGUAUUCACAGCUUCAACCAGAAACAUUUAGCUAAUCUGACACUAAUCAUCAUGAUUCUAGCUCUUUUAGCAGUGGUUCUGUACAUUUUUUUAGCUAUCACAUUCUAUUGUGGUGUAGCCAAAAUAGUCAGCUCUCUUGUGAUUCUGUUUGCAUCACAAUAGUCUUUAAAUUGCUUGUUGCAGUGCUUACCUCCAUUCUCUAGCCUUAUGAUUUUCAGCUUCAUACUUGUCUCAUUCUCAACCAGAGAUUUUCACUUCUAAAAGAUGUCAAAUACCUCAUAUUUAUCUUUCAUGAAAUGAACCCAAAUCAUUCUAUUGUAGUCAUCAAUAGAAGUAACAUAAUACCAAGAGUUAUUAAUUGAAGGUACCUAGGAUGGUCCCCAAAUAUCUAUGUGAACAAGUUCCAUCUUUUUAAUUCUACGACUCAUAUUUAUUUAGAAAAGCUGACUUUCUUCUGUUUUGGAAAACAGUCCUUACAAAACUAAUCAACAGAAGUUACUCUAUCCAAUUUCUUUUUGAGAUCAUUACCUUUAUUCCCAUCACGUUCAUGUGCUCAAGCCUCGUGUCAUAAACCUGCAUCAUUCUCUGAAAACGUCUUAUUAAUGCUACUUAGAGAGCCAUCCUAAGUGGGUGUUAUGUACAUUGUCUCAUCUAUCUUCCCUUAUGCUAUCACCAAAUUAUACAUGGUAAUCUUUCACAAAUUUUAAUUAAAAGUGACAACAGAACCAACAUCUGAUAAGUGACUAACAAGAACCAACUUUCGUGAUAAUUUUGCUACAUGUCAAACUUUCUUCUGUUUCAGCUUUUCACCAUUCAUCAAAUUCAUUUUCUCAUACCCCUUCCCAACUAUCUCACUGGGUUCAUUUUCUCCAAGAUACACCUUGCUAAAAUUACUAUAUUCAUAGUUGGAAAGGUACUCCAUGUUUGAAGUAGUAUGAACAUGCUCUAGAAUCUAAUAACCAAGAUUCGUUCUCUAAAACACAUGUGAGUACUAAAGUUUUCUCAAGAUGAUAUGAUUAAUUAGUAUAAUUAAACGAAUCUGAUGAUGAACCCUUGUAGUUCUUCUCAUGAUGAACCCUCGUAGUUCUUCUCUUAUUGCUUGGCAGGUGUCUUGCAAUAGAGUCUCUUAUGACCUGGUUGUCUGUAAUUCCAACAGAAAGUAGGACCUCCUUUGUUAAUUAGAUGGUUGUAUAGACUUAGAACACGACUUUCCUUUGUUAUUACCAUCCUUUUGACUAGUGCCUCUUUCAUCCAUGCUCAAUGCAAUACGGGUACUAUCAUUAUACAGUUGAAAGUUUCUUUGUGACUCCUCAGUCAGCAGAGAACUCAGAAAGUCUUCAAACUCAAUCCUGCAACCAUUGAACUACUUAUGGGCAUCACUAGAUCAUCCCAGCAAUUGGGCAAGCUUGAUAGAAUCAAUAAAGUCAUGAUCUCAUUCAUAAAGUUUAUUCCUGCAUACUCUUUCUCGUGACAGUAUUAAAAUCAUUCAAAUGCACUUCCAUAGAUUUACCCUUAGUCAUCUUCAUAUUAGAUAGUUUUUUCAUUAGGAAUACCUUAUUUGAUGUCAUGGUUUUUCAUACAUCCUCCUCGAUGCAUCCAUGAGAUCCUUGGUUGUUUUCUCCUUGGAGUUGUAGAAGGCAAUUGAUGAUGCUAGCGAUAGAUGAAUUGCACCCAAAGCUUGUCGAUCCAGCACAUCUCACUUUGGCUGUUCCAGUUCUACCGGCUUCAUUCCUCCAAGAGACGGGUAAAGAUCCUUCUGGUAGAGGUGAUCCUCUAUCUGUAUCUUCCAAAUUCUAAAAUUAUUUUCAUUGAGUCUCUCGAUAUGUAUCUUCCCUUUGCCCCCCAUCGCUCACACCUUAAUUGAGCUCUGGUACCAGUUAUUAUGAGACAACGAUUAAUGAACGUAAUAAUGACAAAAAGAAAGAUCAUUCAAUUUAACGUGGGAAACCCUCAAAGGAAAGAAAACCCACGGCCAAUUACCAACUCUUAUUAUUCCGCAAUGAAAGAUGAUACAAAUAUACCAAGUAAGCCAAGUUUAUAGGUCGCGAAAAACCCUAAUCCUAGAUAGUUUAGGAUGUUCUCCAAGUAAUUUAAAGCAGCCUAUGAAGUACUUAAUAAAUCCUAGACCCCAGUCCUUCAGCCCCUUGCUACGUGCAUCACAGGGGGUUGCCUGAUACAAUGUUGAGAAGAAGGGAUUAAAUAGGAAGAAAGAAAAUUGUUACAGUAGAAUUUAAAAGUUAGGUAUUACUGUUCAUUGUUCACAAAAUUAGUUACUAUUGUUCCAAGUUGUAGUUAUUCUGUUAGUUAGCUUAGUUGUCAACUGCAGCUAAUGAGGUGUAUAAAUAACUGAUGUAAGCUACUACUUGAUUCAUUCAUUCAUAAUACAAUCUAUGUCCUUCUCUCUCAUUCUUCUUUCUCUUUACUGAUUUUAUUGGAUAAUUGCCUGAAAUUGGUACCAUCUUCGUUGAGGAUUAUUCUCCUAGAUUGACACAUUUCGCCCAAAUUCCUUGUUCUUGCAUCAAUUUAUUUCAGAGCCAGUCAUUUCUCGGCUCAAUCAAUCAUGGUAGUUCAUGAUAAAAACUCAGACAAAUCGAAUGAGGAAGUCGAUGGUAAGCUUUCUCAGAUUCAAGAUCAGUUGCAGAAAUUAAUGGAGGGAGUGUCGAGCAUUUAUGAAAGAAAUGUUCAAGCUGAUAAAGAACUAUUGGGACUCAAGGAAACCCUGGGAUCGUUGAUGUCCAAGGAGAAAAAAAGGAGCAGGGAAGAGCUGAAUUUUCCACCAUCAGAAGUUGUCCAGUUGGGAUGCAAAAUAAUAAAGGUUACAAUAAGGAUUUCCAUGGAGCUAGAAAUUAUGGUAAUGGACAAUUUUUUACUCGAUUCUCCAAAUUGGAGUUCCUUCAUUUUUUUGGUUGUGAAUUACGCACUUGGUUAUACAAAGUUGAUAAAGUCUUUUCUAUGAAGAAAAUUUCGUUUGAAUAGAGGGUGAAGGUGGCUUCCAUCCAUUUGGAUGGUGAAGCUAUUGCAUGGCAUAGGUCGUAUAUGAACUCUAGAAAUACUACUUCUGAACUCUCAUGGAUUGAGUAUGUGUUAUCCCUAAAUGAGAGGUCUGGGGAUGGAUUUGAAGACCCAAUGGAGGCUUUGAAAAAUUUAAGGCAAACUGGCAGUGUUAGAGAAUAUCAUGCAGAAUUUGAUAGGUUAUUAAAAGCAGUUAAUCUAUCAAAUGAGAAUUCUAGAAGCUGUUAUUUAGGGAGGUUGAAGCCAGAGUUGAAUAAGGUAGUCAAGAUUCAAGAACCCAAGACCUUGUCCCAAGCUUACAAGAUUUCAAGGUUGCAGGAAAGGGUGUUUGAGGCUCAAGCUUAGACCUGGGGUUUUAAGCAGGCUCAAAAGGGGGUUAAUGCAAUCUUACCAGCUCCAAAUCAGUUUAGGCCAUCCAAUUACCAAAAAAUCUCUACAUAUCAUCCUAAUGUAGCUAAACCUAAAAAUUUUAGAAGGUUCACUACUACUGAAAUAGAUGCAAAAAGGUCUAAAGGUCUGUAUUUUUUUUGUGAUGAGAAAUAUGUUGGACAUAAUUAUAGGGCCAACAAACUAUUGUUUAUGGUAGAAUUGAUGGAUGAGAGUAUGUCUAAUGAAUGGGAAGGACCUGAAUUGAUAGAAGAAGUUUUCGACAUUCCCCAAGGUGAGGAGGAACUGAUGACCAUCUCAUUACAAACUUUUACUAUGGCUGUUGGAUAUCAGACAAUUAGGAUCACUAGUUAUCAUGAGAAAAGACCUUUACAAGUCCUAAUUGGCACUGGAAGUACCCAUAACUUCAUUGACCAAGGGGUGGCCAAAAAGUUGGGUUGCAAUACCAGUAUUAUAGUUGAACAAUCUGUUAGUGCGACUGCUGGAACACAAGUGCAAACUGUAUCUGUUUACAAGAAUUUGCAGUGGUUGUUACAAGGUACCACAUUCUUUUCUGAUUUUUUUUGUUACCCUUGGGUAAUAUGGAUAAUGUUCUGGGGGUGCAAUGGUUAAAUACACUUGGUAAAAUUCUGUUUGACUUUAAGAACAGGAUAAUAGAAUUUAUGUAUCAGGGGAACAGGUAUGUGUUGAGAGGUGCUACCAGUCAGCUUAAGUCCUCUAAGGCCAACUUUUUGAUCAAGAAGAUGUAAACUAAGGCUACCUGAUACAUAAUAGAGAUGGCUGAUACUACAAUAUCAGAGAUAUAUUGUCACAACAUACAAGCUACGCAAGGUACGAGCCUACAUCCUACAUUAUUUGCAUUGGUGAAAUAAUUUUCUAUUAUCUUUGAGCCACCUACUACAUUACCUCUACAUAUAGGAUCAUCUGAUCAUAAAAUACCACUUAUUGAGUCUGCAAAUUCAGUAAAUAAAAGACCCUAUAAAUACCCUGGUGUGAAGAAAGAUAUCAUAGAGAAACUGAUUCAUAAAAUAUUAGAUCAACGAAUGGGAAGGACCUAAAUUGAUAGAAGAAGGUUUAGACAUUCCUCAAGGUGAGGAGGAACUGAUGGCCAUCUCAUUACAAGCUUUCACUGAGGCUGUUGGAUAUCAUACAAUUAGGGUCACUAGUUAUCAUGACAAAAAAAUCUUCACAAGUCCUAAUUGACACUGAAAGUACCUAUAACUUCAUUGACCAAGGGGUAGCCAAUAAGUUGGGUUGUAAUGCCAGUACUAUAGUUGAACAAUCUGUUCGUGUGGCUAAUGGUAGACAAGUGCAAACUACAUCUGUUUGCAAGAAUUUACAACAUUCUCUUCUGAUUUUUUGUUGUUACCCUUGGGUAAUGUGGAUAUUGUUUUUAGGGUAAAAUGAUUAAAUACCCUUGGUAGGAUUCUAUUUGACUUUAAAAAUAGGAUAAUAAAAUUUAUAUAUCAAGGAAAGAGGUGUGUGUUGAGAGGUGCUACCAGUCAGCUUAAGUCCUCUAAGGUCAGCUCCUUGAUCAAGAAGAUAAAAUCUGAGGCCAACUGCUACAUGAUAGAGGUGGUUGAUACGACAAUAUCAGAGAUAUAUUGUCACAACACAUAAGCUACGAAAGGUACAGACCUACAUCCUGCAUUAUCUGCAUUAGUGCAAAAGUUUUCUAUCAUCUUUGAGACACCUACUAUAUUACCUCCACAUAGAGGAUCAUAUGAUCAUAAAAUACCACUUAUUGAGUCUACAAAUCUAGUAAAUAAAAGAUCCUACAGAUAUCCUGGUGUAAAGUAGAGAAACUGAUUCAGGAAAUAUUAGAUCAAUGCAUGGAAAGGACGUGAAUUGAUAGAAGAAGGUUUUGACAUUCCUCAAGGUGGGAAAAAACUGAUGACCAUCUCAUUACAAGCUUUCACUGGGGCUGUUGGAUAUCAGACAAUUAGGGUCACUGGUUAUUAUGAGAAAAGACCCUUACAUGUCCUAAUUGACACUGGAAGUAUCCAUAACUUCCCUGACCAAGGGGUGACCAAGAAGUUGGGUUGCAAUGCCAAUACUAUAGUUGAACAAUCUGCCAGUGUGGCUGAUGAAAGACAAGUGCAAACUACAUCUGUUUGUAAGAAUUUACAAUGGUUGUUACAAGGCACCAUAUUCUCUUCUGAUUUUUAUUGUUACCCUUGGGUAAUGUGGAUAUAGUUUUGGGGGUGCAACGGUUAAAUACCCUUGGAAGGAUUUUAUUUGACUUUAAAGACAAAAUAAUAGAAUUUAUGUAUCAGGGGAAUAGACAUGUAUUGAAAGGUACUACUAAUCAACUUAAGUCCUCUAAGGCCAGCUCCUUGAUCAAAAAGAUGGAAUAUGAGGCCAACUGCUAUAUGAUAGAGGUGGUUGAUACAACAAUAUUAGAGAUAUAUUGCAACCUACAAGCUACAAAAGGUACAGAGCUACAUCUUGCAUUAUCUGCAUUAGUGCAAUAGUUUUCUAUCAUCUUUGAGACACCUACUACAUUACCUCCACGUAAAGGAUCAUAUGAUCAUAAAAUACCACUUAUUAAGUCUGCAAAUCCAGUAAAUAAAAGAUCCUACAGAUAUCCUGGUAUGAGUAGAGAAACUGGUUCAGAAAAUGUUAGAUCAAUAAAUGAAAAGGACCUAAAUUGAUAGAAGAAGGUUUUGACAUUCCUCAAGGUGGGAAAGAACUGAUGACCAUCUCAUUACAAGCUUUCACUAGGCUGUUGGAUAUCAGACAAUUAGAUUUUUAUUGUUACCCUUGGGUAAUGUGGAUAUUGUUUUUGGGGUACAACGGUUAAAUACCCUUGGUAGGAUUUAUUUGACUUUAAAGACAAAACAAUAGAAUUUAUGUAUCAGGGGGAAAGGCAUAUAUUGAAAUGUGCUACUAAUCAACUUAAGUCCUCUAAGGCCAGCUCCUUGAUCAAGAAAAUAAAAUAUAAGGCCAACUGCUACAUGAUGGAUAUGGUUGAUACUGCAAUAUCAAAGAUAUAUUGUCACAACAUACAAGCUACGCAAAGUACAAACCUACAGCCGGCAUUAUCUAUAAUGGUGCAGUAGUUUUCUAUUAUCUUUGAGCCACCUACUACAUUACCUCUACAUAGAGGAUCAUUUGAUCAUAAAGUACCACCUAUUGAGUUUGUGAAUUCGGUAAAUAAAAGACCCUAUAAAUACCCUAGUAUGAAGAAAGAUAUAAUAGAGAAACUGAUUUAUAAAAUAUUAGAUCAAUGAAUAGGAAGGACCUAAAUUGAUAGAAGAAGGUUUAGACAUUCCUCAAGGUGAGGAGGAACUGGUGGCCAUCUCAUUACAAGCUUUCACUAGGGUUGUUGGAUAUCAGAUAAUUAGGGUCACUGGUUAUCAUGAGAAAAGACCCUUACAAGUCCUAAUUAACACUGGAAGUACCCAGAAAUUCAUUGACUAAGGAGUCUCCAAGAAGUUGGGUUAAAAUGCCAGUACUAUAGUUGAAUAAUCUGUUAGUGUGGCUGAUGGUAGACAAGUGCAAACUGGUUUUGUUUGCAAGAAUUUGCAAUGGUUGUUACGGGGCACCACAUUCUCUUCUGAUUUUUUGUUGUUACCCUUGGGUAAUGUGGAUACUGUUUUGGGUGUGCAAUGGUUAAAUACCCUUGGUAGGAUUCUGUUUGACUUUAAGAACAGGGUAAUAAAAUUUAUGUAUCAAGGAAAGAUGCAUGUGUUGAGAGGUGCUACCUUUCAACUUAAGUUCUCUAAGGCCAGUUCCUUGAUCAAGAAGAUGGAAUAUAAGGACAACUGCUACAUCAUAGAGGUGGUUGAUACUACAAUAGCAGAGAUAUAUUGUCACAAAUCUAUGCAAGGUACAGACCUACAUCUUGCAUUAUCUGCAUUGGUGCAGGAGUUUUCUAUUAUCUUUGAGCCACCUACUAUAUUAUUCCACAUAGAGGAUCAUUUGAUUAUAAAAUACCACUUAUUGAGUCUGCAAAUCUAGUAAAUAAAAGACCCUACAGAUACCCUGGUGUGAAAAAAGAUAUCAUAGAGAAAUUGGUUCAGGGAAUGUUAGAUCAAGGUGUAAUUCAACAUAGCUCUAGUCCUUAUGCUUCUCCUGUUGUGUUGGUGGUAAAAAAAAUAGUAGUUGGAGGUUAUGUGUUGACUACAGAGAGGUAAAUCAGCUGACUAUAAAAGAUAAAUUUCCCUUUCCCAUUAUUGAAGAUUUGUUAGAUGAAUUACAUAGAGCUUCUGUGUUGCUGGUAACCACUAACUAAGAAUGAUUGAGAGUGAUGCUCAUAAACAAUUUUCAAAACUCACGAAGGUCACUAUGAGUUCUUGGUUAUGCCUUUUGGCCUGACUAAUGCACUAUAUUUAUUUCAAAGCUUGAUGAAUUAUGUUUUCAAACCAUUACUAAGGAAAUCAUUGUUAGUCUUCUUUGAUGACAUUUUAAUCUUUAGUAAUUCUAUGUCUGCUCAUAUUGCUGAUGUUAAUGUGGUGUUUGAACUUAUGGUUAAGCAUCAGUUGUAUGCAAAAAUGGCUAAGUAUGCAUUUGGGGUGCCUAAAGCUAAGUAUUUAGGCCAUGUGAUUAGUGCAUAAGGUGUUGCUAUUGAUCCAAAAAAAAAUACUAGCAGUUCAACAGUGGCUACUUCCUAUCAAUCUUAAGUAGUUAAGAGGAUUUCUUGGUCUGUCUAGUUACUACAUAAGGUUCAUAAAGGGGUUUGGUGUUAUUUGCAGGCCCUUACAUGAUCUACUCAAGAAAGAGGGGUUCUUGUAGAAUGAAAUUUCUACUAAAGCUUUUGAAGAACUCAAAUAGGCACUGAUUUCUACUCUUGUUUUGGCUAUGCCUAAUUAUAAUCAUACCUUUGCGGUAGAGACAGAUACUAGUGGCAAGGGUAUAGCGGUUGUAUUGAUGCAAUAAGGGCAUUCACUUGCUUAUAUUAGCAAGCCCUUUGUACCCAAACAUCAAGCUGUAAGCGUUUAUGAUAGAGAGUUGUUAGCACUGCUCUUUGUUGUUUCACGAUGGUCUCAUCACUUAUUGGGAAGGCAUUUCAUCGUUUAAAUUGAUCAAAAAGCUCUCAAGUAUCUAUUAAAUCAACACAUUCAUACUGAUUUUUAGGUGUACUGUAUCUCCAAGCUUAUGGCAUUUGAUUUCGCCAUUGAAUACAAGAAAGGGGUGGAAAACAAAGUUGUUGAUGCCUUGUCCAGGAAUCCUAGUGCUGAGUUUCUAGCCAUUUCUAUCUUAGGUCCUCAUGGUUCCCUUUUGGAUCAAAUUAAUAUCUCUUGGACUAUUGAUCAACACCUGGAAGCUAUUAUUGGUAAGGUGCAGACAUCACCUUACAAAUCUUUUACUUGGUUUCAUAACCAGUUGAGAUGAAGGAUAGGUUGAUAGUUGGUAAUAAUGCUCAGCUUAAAAGGUCCAUCAUUGCUCUUAGGCAUGAAUCUACCCAAGGAGCCAAUGCCACUAUUAAAAUACUGCAAUCACUAUUUUAUUAGAAAUCACUGAUGCAAGACACUAGAGAUUUUACUAACAAAUGUGAUAUUUGUCAAAGGCAUAAGUAUGAUGUUACUCAUAGUCCAAGUCUUUUACAACCUUUGCUAGUACCUGAUGGUGUUUGGACAGACAUUUGUUUGGAUUUCAUUGAAGGUUUGCCUAAGUCCAAUGGUAAAGAAGUUAUACUGGUGGUAGUGGAUAGAUUGAGGAACUAUGGGAAUUUCUUGGCUUUGUCUCGCCCUUAUACAACCCAAUCAGUGGCUCAAUAUUUCCUUGACAAUAUCUUUAAGUUGCAUGGCAUGCCUAACACAUUACCUAGUGAUAGAGAUUCCAUCUUCCUUAGUAAUUUCUGGCAAGAAUUGUUUUAUUUGCAAGGUGUUCAGCUUUAGAGAACUACUGCAUACCAUCCACAAACUGAUGGACAAAUAGAAGUGUUGAAUAAAACAUUGGAAACUUACUUGAGGUGUUUUUGCUCUGACAAGCCUAAGGAAUGGUGCUCUUAUUUACCCUUGGUUGAAUGGUGGUACAAUACCACCUAUAUAUCAUACUACUAUCAAGUGUACCUCUUAUGAGGUUUUGUGUGGAAAAAACUGACUAUUCAUCUUCCCUAUUUAGCUGGUUAGGUUGCUACUGAAAUGGUUGACCGAUCUUUGGUUGCUAGAGAAUCCACUAUUCAGUUGUUAAAAUUUCAUAUUGGUAGAGCUCAACAGAGAAUGAGAGAUACUGCUAACAAGCACAGGUCUGACAAGUCAUUUAUGGUAGGAGAUUGGGUCUAUUGAAGCUUCAACCUUACAGGCAAACUUCUGUUGUUGUAGGAUCAUUUCCUAAACUGGCAGCCAAAUACUAUGGACCUUAUCUUGUUGAUGCUAUGAUUGGUGCAGUGGCUUAUAGGUUGUUACUUCAAGCAGAUGUCCUUACCCAUCCUGUUUUUCAUGUUUCCUAAUUGAAAAGGUGUUUAGAGGUUCCUCUAGUAUCACUCAUCCUCCUGUUAUUCAGCUGUCAAGUCCCUAUUGUCCUAGCCCUGAGGCUAUUAUUGAUAGAAGACUUGUGAAGACAGGCAAUAAAGUUGUGGAACAAGUUUUGGUUACAUGGUCUGACCUUGAUAAGACUCAAGCUACUUGGGAAUUUGAGUCUGAGUUGCAACAUAGAUUCUCUACAUUCCAUUUUUUGAGGACAAGGAGGUAUUGAUACAAUGUUGAGAAGAAGGGAUUAAAUAGGAAAGAAGAAAAUUGUUACAACAGAAUUUAAAAAUUAAGUGUUACUGUUCAUUGUUCAUAAAAUUAGUUACUAUUGUUCCAAGUUGUAGUUAGAUAGUUAUUCUAUUAGUUGGUUAGCUUAGCUCUAAAUUGCAGCUAAUGAGGUGUAUAAAUAACUGAUGUAAGCUACUACUUGAUUCAUUCAUUCAUAAUACAAUUUCUGUUCUUCUCUCCCAUGCUUCUUUAUCUUUACCGAUUUUCUCGGAUAAUUCCCUGACAUUGGUACCAUCUUAUUGGAGGAUUAUUCUCCUAGAUUAACACAUUUCACCCAAGUUGCUUGUUCUUGCAUCAUUACCGCCCCCUAAAAACCCCACAGUCAUGCCCACAAACAUAACAUGGAUAAAUGAACAUGGACCCAACAAUCUCCCCCUCCAUCUAAGGGUCAAAAUGGGCCUUCAAAUAGAGGAACUGUGGACAUGUUUCAGACCAAAUUUCUACAAAACUCAGGCUUAUCUGCGAUAACCAGCUUUUUUAAGAAAAAUCUCUUUCUUUUUUAUUCAUGCGGUGUUAAAGUAAUUGAUCAAUCACUUAUUUUGUUGUUUCAACAGGAUUUAGAAAGUGGACCAAUUACUGAUGAUGCAACACUUGAGCCUCUGGAUGACGAAACUUGUAGUGAGAUGCAACUUCUACAAAGGAAUAACAUUAAUCGUAUUGUUCAAGAGAAGAACUGGGAUGAACUUAAUGACUUCGGAGGAGCCACUGGAUUUGCUGAAGCAUUGGACAGUCACCUGGAAAAUGGAAUUGUUGGUGACACUGAAGAUAUUUGUAUACGUAAUGCAACAAUCAAGUUUCCUCAAACUUGCGUACAAGUUGUAGUCAUGUUCUUCUAUGUCCUUUUUGAAGCACUCAAAGGCUGGACAAUUUCCUUGCUUGCGGUGGCUAUAAUACUUUCUCUUGCCUUUGAAAUUGACGAAGAAGGGAUACAAAAGUGUUGGCUUGACAAUUUGAUACUGCUUAUGUCCGUACUUGGACUUAUUAUGUUUAAGUUGGUGGGGAUAUAUUGGGAGGACAAAAAAUUGAUGAAAAAGAUGAAGGACCAGAAAAGGAAGAUGCAGAGGCAGAGAGCGGCAGAGGAGGUCCGUGUUAUUACAGGAGGAAUUGAGGGUCUGGUUCCAUACUCUGAUCUUGUUUAUGGUGAUAUUAUUUUUUUAAGAAGGGGAGACUUAGUCCCUGCAAAUGGGAUAUUUGUUUCUAAUUGUGGGGAAGCUUUAGAGGUACGAGAUGAUGAUGAUGAUGUGGAGUUGUGUAUCAAUGAUCAGAACCCUUUCUUAUUACUUGGUUCCGAAGUGAUUAAGGGUGAUGCUAAGAUGAUAGUGACAUCAUCGUUUGUUGGCAAUGAGGCAGAUCAAUGGACUGAAAGAAUGAGACGAGCAAUUACCAAAAGUACUUCACAUAAAGGUUUCAAUCUCGAUGCUUGUUUUGAGAAGUUGCACACUAAGAUUCAUGUUUUCGGGAUUGCCAUCAGCAUUCUAACCUUUGUGGUUAUGUUCGUGCGCUUUAAAUUCCAUCAAAAAGAUGAGCACGAAUAUAGACUAGAAAUCAAGGAAGAACCAGCAAAAUUCAGUCAGAUAGUAAAUUCCAUCAGAAAAUUUGCCAGAGAUGCCAAACUGACAACCUUGCUUUGUGUUUCAUUGGUUGGGAUAAGGGAAGGAUUAUCUCUUGUUGUUUCCGGUGCAAUUUUCUAUUGGAAACGAAAGAUAGUAGUAUCUUACCAUGACUACUCCAAAAUUGAUACAUCAUUGCUUCUAAAGGUAGAAUCAUCGGUUACUAUUGUUUGUUCGAUGAAGAAUGGUUGGUUAAUUGAACAGAAUCAUCAGGAAGUUAUCAGAGAUAUUGCAGUUAAAACACUCACAGAAUUAGGUAAUGUGAAGACAAUAUUCAUCUCCGAAGAUGAUGUUGAUGAACUUAAAAACAUCGUCUCUGAAGUUGGAUUCAACUCGGAUGAUGAUACUCUGGUGGUUAACGGUGAGGACUUUUAUCAAUUGAGUGAUGCUGACAAGAUGGAGAAAAUAGAUAAAACAAUCUGUAUAAUGGGCAAUUGCUCCGUUCGUCACAAGCUGCUUCUUGUAAAAUACUUGAAGCUAAAAGGCAAAGUGGUUCUAAUGCUUGGAGAACGCACAUCUGAUGGUUUGGUAAUCCAAAAGGCGGACCUUGGCAUGUACAUCAAUACAUGGAGUUUCGAUUACCUAAUAGGUAUGUUGAAACUUGGAAGAUUUAUUUGUGAAAGUAUGAGGAAAUUUAUCCAAAUAGAGCUCAUUCUGACUCUAGCUAGUUGGUUAAUAAACUUGAUAACAGUCAUGAUAAUGGGAAAUGCUCCAUUAACAACUCUUAAGUUGAUUUGGCUCAGUUUUCUUGUUACAUUUCCUGGAGGCCUAGCAUUGUUCUCAGGGCAACGGGAGGAUGCACGUUUGUCUGUCGACAAACAUACACUAAUAAUGAAGGCUAUUUGGAGGAACAUUAUAGUUCAACUUACUUAUCAGAUUGUGAUUUUUGUGGUCCUUCAAUGCAAAGGCAAAGCCAAUAAUAUCCAUAGUGAAUUCAUAAUUUUCAAUGGAUUUGCUCUAUGCCAGUUUUUCAGCAUAUUAUGUGCUAGAGAGCCAGAAAAGAAGAACAUUUUCAAUGGUUGUAGAUGUAAUUAUUGGUUUUGGGCAGCAUGUGGAAUUUUUCUCAUUUUGCAUGUUGGAAUUGUUGAGGGAGCAACUCUAGUAAUCAGUGACAAUAUGCAAGUAGAGUGGACGUUAUGGGCAGUAUGCUUUACAAUUGGUGUUGCUACAUGCUUUUUUGAUUGGGCAGGAAAGUGUACAUUACAAUACAUUGCACCUAUUGCACAAUAUUUUGCUUUUGCUUCUAUGUGUACUCUUCAACCACUUGUGAGUGAGUAAUUAUAUGUUUUGUAUUAUAGAUUCAUGUAAAUAUAGAUGAGAUUGAAGGGUUCAAGAACAAUUAACGACCCUAUAUGUAAGUAUUUUAACUAAUUGCUCAUUAAUUAUAUGUUCCCCCAUCCUCCCACUUUUUUUAAAUUUUUUUCAAAUUUGCAAUUUUAGGAUUAAAAUGGAGAGUGUUUAUCACCCUAGUAAUCCCUCUACUUGCAUGUCUUACUAUUUUAUCACCCUAACUAAUUGCUCAUUAAUUAUAUGUUCCCCCAUCCUCCCACUUUUUUUUUUUAAUUUUUUUCAAAUUUAUAAUUUUAGGAUUAAAAUGGAGUGUGUUUAUUACCCUAGCAAUCCUUCUACUUACUUGUCUUACUAUUUUUAAAAUUGACUUUAAAGAAUGUCAUUUUUUAUAUUUAGUAUUGCUAUCUCAAUUUAUGUGAUGGUGUUGAAUUGAGUAUGAAAUUAAAAAUGAAAGAAAGAUUUUAAAGGUUAUGAUCUGAAACAAGUUAUAAAGACACUAGUGGCUGUAAAAGGUUUUAUUAACGUUAAAUGGAUACUAUAGAUUAAAUCUAUAUACAUAUAAAAGCAAAACUAAAACAAGACAAGAAGUCAUGUGGCAGCACAAUAGAAAGACAUGUGGAAGUUUUUAGGACAAGGUUAUAAACAUUGUAAUAAAAAUUAUGAAUUAAAAUAUAAGAUAUUAUUAUUUAGGUUAAUAUUUUAUUUUUAUUUUUUGAAAGGGAUAAGCUUAUGUUUCUAAUUUCAAACUAAUGAUAAUUAAAAAAUCUCUCUCUAUAUAUAUAUAUAAGUAAAACUAAAAGCACUAAAAGAAGCCACGUGCCAGCAUAAUAAAAAGUCAUGUGGCAGUUUUUAGGACAAGGAUAUAAAAAUUGUAAUAAAAAUUUUGAAUUAAAAAAUUAGAUAUAUUUAAAUUUUGAAACUAUUAGAUUUUGUAAUUAAAAUAUUAUCAUUAACUUGAUUUCAGGAAUGCUAUAUUGAAGAGUUGUAAAUGAACUCUAACUACUCAUAACUUAUUCCUUUCAAUAUUAUAAAAUAUAUUUUAAUAUUAAAUAAAAUAAUAAUAAUAAUAAUAAUAAUAAUAAUAAUAAUAAUAAUAAUAAUAAUAAUAAUAAUAAUAAUAAUAAUAAUAAUAAUAAUAAUAAUAAUAAUAUCUCUCUUGUAGUAGGAUCGUAGGUAUGUAGUAGUACUAUACAUUAGUAGCAGGAGGAGGGGUAAUAUAAAUAUAAUAAUAAUAUUAAUAAUUAUUAUUAUUUUAUUAAUUUUAAUACUUAUUUUAAUUCAAAUAUAUUAUUUAUUUGAUAAAUAUACAUUAUAUUUGAAAAAAAUAAAGAUAAGAAUGAAUAACAAACUAAUCUUCUUUUAACAAAUUAAUAUGUUAUUUGAAUUUCAAUUUAAAUUUUAAUGAUAUUUAAAUUUAAAUUUAAAUUUUAAUGAUAUUUGAAUUGAAAUGGAGUUCUAACUUCUUAACCUUUUUUAUAUAUAAUCCUAAAUAAAUUUUAAAAUAAUAAUAAUAAUAAUAUUUUAAUAAAUAAUAAUAGUAGUAACAAUAGUAGUACAUGAUGUUAAUAGUAAUAAUAGUAAAUAAUAAUAAUUAGUUGCAAUGUAUAAAUUGUAAUAAAAAGUUUUAAUAAGUUAUAAAGUUUUAAUUUAUAAUUUUUUUAAAAAAACUCAGUGUACUAUCACCUCACUUCUUUAUGUCAAAUCAUGUAAACGUAAUAAAUUAUUACGUUUUACAAAAAAAUUGCAAACGUAAUAAACUAUUACUACAUUUUACUAAAACUUUUUAAUAUACACACCCGCUAUCAAACCAUUAAAAAAGAGUAUAAAACGUAAUAAAUCAUUAUGUUUAGCUUGUUUUGGUAACUUAUUAAAUAUGUGAUCUAUUUUUGUCACUUUAUUCAUAUUUUGAUUUAUUUUGGUUCCAAGUUUCCAUAAGUCACAUCUCAAUAUUUUCUAGAAAAUGACUUCCCUUAACCCACGAGGGAAGUCAUUUCCUUUUAAAUGGAGGAAAAUGAGUUCCUUUGGAAAAUAUUUUUCCAAAGUUAUAUUACAACCAAACAAGAAAAAAUAGGAAAAUGUUUUCCAAAAAAUAUCUUCCAUCAUACCAAACACACCCUAAGUGAUUUAUCUUAUUUAUGCAAAAUUAAGUGAUGUACUUAAAAGAACAUGAUAAAUUCAUGUAGACUAAAUAAAUUCUUUUAAUAAUUUUUAAAAAUAAAAUAGAGACUAAUUAACCCUCCAAAAACAAUUAAAAUUUAUGUAAUUUUUACGAAAUUAAUCUCAAUAUUACUAAUAGGCAAAAUAUGAAUUGAACUGUCUUACAACGUGGACAGCUCGCCUACCGCAUGAAAGGUCAACAUAACAAACUACAGCGAGACCAGGACCAUGCCAUGAAAGAUCAAAAUGCCCAGUUAAUUAUUCAUUUCGUUUUUAAAAGAACGACAUAUUUUGACUUGAUUUAAAAUUAAAAAGAUAAUUAAUCUUAUGAUAUUGAAUUAAAGAUAUAUUAUAUAUAUUAAAAUGUUAUUUAAUUUUGCAGCCUUAAACAUAUUAUGUGUAAAUUUGAAUAAAAGAGUUGCCGAAAAGAAAAAUUAAAGGAUCAUUUUCUAAAAAUGGAUUAAAUAGGAAAGCAUAUCAAACAAAUUAAAACGGAAAGAAUAUUUCUUUUUUAAGCCAUAGGUCGAAAAGAUAAAUUUAAGAUUUAAAAUUUAUAAGCUCGAAAAUUUAUUAUGUAUAGUGAAUUUCUCAAUAAAUAUAUAGCGUUAAAGAUAAUUAUUGAAUUAUGUGAAAAAUGUACCUUGCAUGCUAGCUCCAUCCCAGCUAAUAAGUAUGGACUUGCUAUCCCAAUUUACGCGAUGACACUUUUUUCCAUCUGUAGUUUUUUAGAUUUGAAAUAUAUCUAAUUUAAUAUUUUCAUUUUACCCCCACAUGAAUGUGAGUUGCAUGCAUAAAACCACAACUAUAGCCACAAAAUUAUACAGCAUAUUUAACAUCAAAAAUUGAUAAAAUCUUAUAACUACACCAAUAAUGUAUAUAUAAUGAAAAAUUUCAAACUUCACAACGAAUGUUAAAUAAAUUGAAAACAGUGAAAAUAUCUUUUAGUCCCAGGCUUCUUCGUCCCCCAAUCGAACUCCUUUAUCCAAUUGGUCACCACGUAUAAAGUUCAUGUAAAUUCAAUAAAUUUUUACUAUAAUUCUUUAUAUGUUAGAAGAACUAUUAAAUACCUAUAAGAAAUUUAGUUGUUCACUCAGUUAUUAUUGUAAAUUAACCUAAUAUCAUUAUAAGAACUUAUAAAAUUAAAAUCCAUAAUUGGCCUCUGUUACUAGACUACAUGUCCAACCGGAGUUCGAGAAAGUACCCUGGAACAAUCUCAGUUGGUUAUGGUUUAUAGAAAACUACACCACCAAUAAUAACAUAUUCAGAAUAAUUUUAUUAAAUAAGGUUUAGAAAAGAUAAAAUAUACAUAUAUUUUAUCCCUUCCUCAUAGGUAGAAAUGUUACGUUGUUUCCAAUAGACUCUCGAUUUUAGAAAAAAUAAUUCAAAGCAGUUAAAAAAAGAAAGCAACUGAACCAUGUAUAGAGGGGCUAAUUAAGCUACGAGCACAUAAACAUAUAUCAAAGUGUUCAAAAUCAAGUAAAAUAAAUACAUAAGAAAUGCAGAACUAAAAGUGAUAUCAUAACAUAGAGGAGAUGAGAUGAGAAAUAUAUAACAAAAACAUACCUAGUAUAAACUCAAAAAUAGAAUACGAGAAGAAUAGAGUCGGAUACAUAAAUCACACCACUAUUAUAAAAAUAGAAAAAUUAUUUUUAAUAAAUGCUAAUGUUAGAAAUGAGAAAUAUGUAGCUUACAAUUGUAAGAGAGCCAACGUCCCAAUGCCGAGGAGAUCACCAUUUGCCGAGGUCUUCGGUCUCCGCACACACUUAAGCAGACCAAAGG